AGGAACUGCAGAAAGAGGGGGAAGGAAGUCAAGUUUUGAAAUGUUAAAAUGAUUGUAAAAUUAAUGAAAUGUAUAAAUCUGAAAAGUGUGUGUGUGUGUGUGUGUGUGUGUGUGUGUAAAACACAAUAGGAAGACACAACUCCCUGGCUACACAGUCACACCUGGAAUGGUGCUUCCCA